rnacentral:rRNA from 1 species
GUGUCAGCAGCCGCGGUAAUACGAAGGGGGCUAGCGUUGCUCGGAAUUACUGGGCGUAAAGGGCGCGUAGGCGGAUAGUUCAGUUGGGGGUGAAAGCCCGGGGCUCAACCUCGGAACUGCCUUCAAUACUGGCUAUCUUGAGUACGGGAGAGGUGUGUGGAACUCCGAGUGUAGAGGUGAAAUUCGUAGAUAUUCGGAAGAACACCAGUGGCGAAGGCGACACACUGGCCCGUUACUGACGCUGAGGCGCGAAAGCGUGGGGAGCAAACAGGAUUAGAUACCCUGGUAGUCC